CACUAGUAUUUGUGGUUGCAGCAGAGCAGUGGCCAUUCCUGGGUAAGGAUCAGGAAAGCAGUGACCUUCUCUCAGAUCAUACCACCCUGGAAGCACCAACUUGCAGACUCCCAGAACUAGCUCUAAAAAGCAACAGUAUGAAAAGGCCUAAAGCUUGGGACUGCACCUCGCCACUACCAGAUGGUGAAGCAAUACACGGUCAUACGGUAUUGGAGAGGAACUUGAACUCAGGCUGCCUUCCUGAUAUAGGCUUUAUACACUAGGAUUAAACUCUCUUUUUUGGGAGAACCCAUUUCAGGAGGAUCGGAAGAAGAGACAGGGCACAGCUACUGCUUAGGAAUCUAGAGUCUACUGAGAGGAGAAGUGCAAAGCAUAUCUAUGACUCUCACAAAACAAGGACAUACAACAAAUGCAAGUGGAAAGAAAGUUACGAGUUCCAUUGCUCAUUGGCCCAAUUUUCCGAGCUUGCUACCUAGAUCAUCCAGAAAGAAUGUCCUGUCAAAACUAUCGCCUUGUGGAAUCAAACUUACUUUUAGCCCAGGUGAAUGGCAGACAUGUUGAUAAUCUACCCUAAUGGUUUUAUUUCAGUGUCAAUAAAUUUGGU